GGCAGUUUCAGGGAGAGGAAACCGCUCCCUGACCAGAAGCUCAUCCAGACGCCGUACGGCUGUCGCCUGCAGUACACGCUUCCCCAGGGAAACACGCUGAUUGUUCAUUUUAAGGAAAAGCAUCGAAUUCGCCACAAAAAGAGUUGGUCUCAGAUUAUGUACCUGUACUUCCUGCUGGGUUGGAGACUGAAUAGGCCACACUUUCAGAUGUAUGAAGAAGGAGAGGAGGAAGUAGCGCCUGAGGGUUCGAGCAGCUGUACAUCAUCAAAUCAGGAAAUCACGGUGCACAUCAUGGCAUAAAUCACUGUCAUAAGCCUGAAACCUGUGACUGAUACCAAUUUUUAUGUUUUCUGUCCAGAAAGCCAAAGAGAACACCUACAUUCUGGUACUAGAUGGCGACACUGAUUCCCAGCCUUCUGCUGGUGGACCGACUCAGGAUGUACCCGGAGGUGGGCGCCGCCUGUGGCAGGAUUCACCCCACUGGCACUGGUGAGCACUGCUGGCUGUGCACGCUGCUCCUGCAGCAGGGCUGGAGGGUGGAGUACAACGCCGCAUCAGACUCCUACACCAACGCUCCUCAGGAGGUCAAGGAGUUCUACAACCAGAGAUGCCGUUGGGGUCUGUCUACCAUGGCCAACACUCUGGACCUCCUGUCCAGCACCGGCCUGACUGCCGAGAAGAACAAGUCCAUAUCCAGGCCACCGUCUGCCUCAUGAUUGCAGGAAGCUUUAAAUUCGUCCUGAAGAUAGAGGCCAAUUUCGCCCUUGUGCUGGCCGUUGUUCCUCCUGUUAUCUAAACGAAGUCAGACACGCAAAUCGCCAUCGCCGCCGUCAUGAGCAUCUUCUACGCUUCUCAGAUAGACUUUGCUGUCUAUUAUAGGUGGGUUACGGUCGUGAACUAGUGUACUACUGUACCAGCGUUCACGCUGUUUGCAUAUCAUGAGUAAUAAUAAAAAACAUAAUAAACCGAACUUACGCAGCAACUUACAUUGCCUUAAAGCGGGGGUGAACAGAGUGAAGCUCUGAAAACGGGUUAUUUUAUAUGUUCUUCACAGAAAACGAGCAAAGACCAAGAAUCUGAGGUUAAAAUAAUAAUAAAUCACAUCAUUUGGUAUUUUGUCCAGUAACACAAGAAAUGGAAAAACUAAAAGAAAAGAAACUUUUACUGUGGAUGCCGCUUCUUCUGUGUUUUCGUCUUGGAACAGAAAUUAGUCCUGGAUCUGGUGAUUUUGGCUGUAGCUGCGAAGCAUGUUCAUGUACUAGUUCACUGAAAAUGAACCCAACACCAUUCGCCAAACUAAACGGGCUGUAAGAAGCUUUACAGACCGGCUGGAACAAA